UAGGGAAUCUUCCGCAAUGGGCGAAAGCCUGACGGAGCAACGCCGCGUGAGUGAUGAAGGUCUUCGGAUCGUAAAACUCUGUUAUUAGGGAAGAACAAAUGUGUAAGUAACUAUGCACGUCUUGACGGUACCUAAUCAGAAAGCCACGGCUAACUACGUGCCAGCAGCCGCGGUAAUACGUAGGUGGCAAGCGUUAUCCGGAAUUAUUGGGCGUAAAGCGCGCGUAGGCGGUUUUUUAAGUCUGAUGUGAAAGCCCACGGCUCAACCGUGGAAGGUCAUUGGAAACUGGAAAACUUGAGUGCAGAAGAGGGAAGUGGAAUUCCAUGUGUAGCGGUGAAAUGCGCAGAGAUAUGGAGGAACACCAGUGGCGAAGGCGACUUUCUGGUCUGUAACUGAAGCUGAUGUGCGAAAGCGUGGGGAUCAAACAGG
rnacentral:rRNA from 1 species